GAUGAACGCUAGCUACAUGCUUAACCCAUGCAAGUCGAGGGACCGGCGCACGGGUGAGUAACACGUAUCCACCCUUCCCUUUACUCGGGGAUCGCCUUUCGAAAGAAAGAUUAAUACCCGAUCUAAAGGAUGGGGAUGCGUUCAAUGAGGUUGUUGGUGAGGUAACGGCUAACCAAGCCAUCGAUGGAUAGGUGGUCUGAGAGGAAGGUCCCCGACAUUGGAGCUGAGACACGGUCCAAACUCCGACGGGAGGGAGCAGGGAGGAAUAGUGGUCAAUGGGUGCUAGCCUGAACCAGCCAAUUAGCGUGAAGGAUGAAGGCUUAUGGGUCGUAAGCUUCUUUUAUAUAAGAAUAUGUAUUAGAUGAAUAAGGAGCGGCUAACUCCGUGCCAGCAGCCGCGGGAAUAC
rnacentral:rRNA from 1 species